rnacentral:rRNA from 1 species
AGAGUUUGAUCCUGGCUCAGGACGAACGCUGACGGUGUGCUUUAGGCAUGCAAGUCGAACGAGAAAGCCCUUCGGGGUGAGUAAAGUGGCGAACGGGUGAGUAACACGUGGGCAACCUGCCCCUCGCAGGGGGACAACCGGAGGAAACUCCGGCUAAUACCCCGUACGCUCCACGCAUCGCAUGUUGUGUGGAGGAAAGGUAGCCUCGGCUAUCCGGCGAGGGAUGGGCCCGCGGUGCAUUAGCUAGUUGGUGGGGUAACGGCCCACCAAGGCGACGAUGCGUAGCUGGUCUGAGAGGAUGAUCAGCCACACUGGGACUGAGACACGGCCCAGACUCCUACGGGAGGCAGCAGCCAGGAAUCUUGGGCAAUGGGCGAAAGCCUGACCCAGCAACACCGUGUGGGCGAUGAAGGCCUUAGGGUCGUAAAGCCCUGUUGAUAGGGACGAAGGGCGAAGGGUUAAUAGCCUCUAGCUUGACGGUACCUUUCGAGGAAGCCCCGGCUAACUACGUGCCAGCAGCCGCGGUAAUACGUAGGGGGCGAGCGUUGUCCGGAAUUAUUGGGCGUAAAGAGCGUGUAGGCGGUUCGGUAAGUCUGUCGUGAAAUCCUGAGGCUCAACCUUGGGCGUGCGAUGGAUACUGCCGGGCUAGAGGGUGGUAGAGGCGAGUGGAAUGCCCGGUGUAGCGGUGAAAUGCGCAGAUAUCGGGAGGAACACCAGUAGCGAAGGCGGCUCGCUGGGCCACACCUGACGCUGAGACGCGAAAGCUAGGGGAGCGAACAGGAUUAGAUACCCUAGUAGUCC